UGGACGCCGACGGCACGUCCACGGCAUGGAUCUGCCACGCGGCAGCCAUCCAGAGGCCAUCGGCGCCCUAUAGGUCGCCCCCGACUCCCUUGCAAACCCUGGCGCCCUCUUUUCCCCUGCUCUCGUCCCUCUUCUCCCCACAACACGCAACCGCCGCCGCCGUCACCAUAGAUGCCCUCGGCCGCGCGCUCUCCGGCCUCCCCGCGCCCUGGGACCGCAUCCGCCAGCACCACCAGCGUCUGCUACUUCCUCUCCGUCCACAAGUUCGAGCUCGGAGCCCCUCCACCGUCGGGAUCGAGCUCAUCCCCUACCUUCGGUCGCCGCCGUCAACCUCGACGAUCCACCACCCCUGCAGCUCCUAAGCUUCCACCGAGCCAUCGUGCGCUCCUCGAUGUUGGAGCCCAGGAGCCAGACACCACCUUCGACGACGACUGCUACUACACCGGAGGUGCCUACUACUACGUGCAGCCCAUUGACGAUGACCGGGAGUAGUUUAGGACGAUCCCAGACAGGAGGCAUGUGCCUCUUUCGAUCUGUAUCCCAGUUUGUGCUAGCCUUCUUAAGGCAGACUUGUUUAACUUAUGUCUGUACUUAGAUAUUGUUGCUUCCGCUGACUCGUCUAUGAUCGAGCACUUGUAUUCGAGCCUUCGAGGCCCCUGGCUUGUAUUAUGAUGCUUGUAUGACUUAUUUUAUUUUAGAGUUGUGCUGUGAUAUCUUCCAGUGAAUCCCG
rnacentral:rRNA from 1 species